rnacentral:tmRNA from 1 species
GGGGGCGACUGGUAUCGACCGGAUCCAACGGGGCAUGGGUGGCGUGCAGAGGUUCCGCGGAGGCCUCUUAAACACCGCGGAAAACUUAGUUGCCAACCGCAACUUUGCUAUGGCGGCCUAAUCUAGGUUGUCACGUGCCGGAGACCCACGUCCGCGGAGUCUUCGGCGCGACCAACCAGCGGACUGGCUCGCGCACUCCCGUCCGAGACGAGGCGAGUAAGAAACGAUCGGACUGGUUCCUCGACGUCCUGUCGGCCGGAUAGCCGGGGAACGAGAUUUAUAGACCGACUACGCACGUAGAGGCUCAUGUCACGGGAUCGCGGGACGGGGGUUCGAUUCCCCCCGCCUCCAUCC